AACAGCUUUAAGUGACCACAGCUAAACC
rnacentral:piRNA from 1 species